AGAUACAAAACCAACCCACCUUGUGGAGUCUUGGUGAUUCAUAGUAACCGAACGGAUCGCAGUUGGCUUUUGGGCCCGCGAUGGAUCAUUCAAGUUUCUGGCCUAUCAGCUUUCAACGGUAGGGUAUUGGCCUACCGUGGCAGUGACGGGUAACGGGGAAUUAGGGUUCGAUUCCGGAGAGGGAGCCUGAGAAACGGCUACCACAUCUAAGGAAGGCAGCAGGCGCGCAAAUUACCCAAUGAAAACAGUUUCGAGGUAGUGACGAGAAAUAACAAUACAGGGCAUUUAAUGCUUUGUAAUUGGAAUGAUGGGAAUGUAAAACCCUUCCAGAGUAACCAUUGGAGGGCAAGUCUGGUGCCAGCAGCCGCGGUAACUCCAGCUCCAAUAGUGUAUAUUAGAGUUGUUGCAGUUAAAAAGCUCGUAGUUGGAUUUCUGCACCAUCCAACUUCUGCCAGGGGAGUAAUGCUGACCUAAGGAUCUUGGUGAUAUCCUUUUUAGCCUUGCUCAUGACUCGAAGGAUUUGCUCUUGGUGUACGGAAGUCUCCACUGCAUCCUUGAGUCCAAGGUACUUGUAAGCCUCCCUGAGCUUCACCACCGGCAAGACCUCGUUAUGCAGCCGGAGUUCUACUGGUCUGGUUGCUGCCUGGUCGUGC
rnacentral:ncRNA from 1 species